rnacentral:tRNA from 1 species
GGAGGGUUGGCCGAGCGGACGAAGGCAGCGGUCUUGAAAACCGCCGGGCGGUUCACGCCGUCCCGUGGGUUCGAAUCCCACACCCUCCG